rnacentral:tRNA from 1 species
AAGGCCUUAUGUUAACAAAACAAAUAGCCUUCAAAGCUAUAAAUAAGAGUCAUACCCCUUAGGCCUUA